GAGGAUAUAGCUCAAUGGCAGAGCUGUUGCUUAGCACGCACAAGGUUCUGGGUUCAAUCCCCAAUACCUCCA
rnacentral:tRNA from 1 species